AUAGGUUGAAUGGAGAAUACAUUAUACAGAAUGGAAAAUGGAAUGAAACAUUUAUACUGGAAUCUCCAGCUAGAACCCAGGUUGAAUGGAUAAGAAUAAAUGGAACAAAACAGUCAUGGUGCACUUUACUGUAGAACCCAGUUCUUACCAUUUAUCUAGAACCCAGGUAAGAGUGAAAGAGUCUGGCAAGCUCAUAAUCCUCGCAGAACACAAAGAGGCACAGAACUGACUGCUUUCACAAUCCCUGAAGCCCUAAUGUGCUGAUUAGAUGGUAUAGUUAGACUAGGAAUUAAAAACUGUUCAACUCAGUUUAGGAGUUAAAUACUGUUCAAGUUAGUUUAGGAGUUAAAUCCUUUUAGAGAUUGCCUUUCAGAAAUUGUGGAAUAGAAUCAUUAAAGAAAGGAUGCAAAAGGAGGGACAAAAUGAAAUGUGAAUGAC